AGGAAACACGGUCUGCUGCUCUCGAAAAUGCCGAGAGCUGCUCACUUGUACACAGGAAAAAAAUCAGCAUGUUGUUGUUAUGCAUUUGCUAGUGGAAGUGACCGGCGCGAAUGUGUGUGCAUUUAACGCCCGCUUUUACACAACGCGGCAUCAGAUAAGCACACGGCUGCACUGCACACAUGUGUGCCAUUUUCCUUCCAUUCCGCCGUGGCAGCGGCCUUCUUGCCCAAAACGCGGACAACCUUUUCUGGCUGCAGAUUUCGCCUUCAGCCGCUGCUGGCGCGUCGAAAGUAAAUUAUGCGCCUUGGAGAUAUGUAUUUCGCUCUUUCGCUCUCUUACGUUCAUUUUCCUCUCUCUUUUCUCCACUUGCUUACUAACACCAAGGUCAAAUCAAUUUUCAGCCCUCUCUUCUCACAAACUCGUUUUGCCACAUCAUGCCUUUUGCUUUGCUCAUGCCGUUUUCUUCGUUAUCUUUCUCUCUCUCUCACUUGCUCGCUCGCUCAACUCGCUCGUGUGUGUUGUCAUUGUUUUGCUCCGCUUUUAAUACAAACGUGUGCAUGCGCGCCUUUGAUAUUCGAGCCAGGCCACUUAAAUGUGCGCACUGACAAGCACAGCGAUUCGGAAAAGCGAAACGGAUGUAUUGCGCGGAUCCACGCUCAGCACGCCGCCGCUCAAUGUGACUGCAGAUGUUGUAAUGCGGCUCACAAUAAUCAGUCACCUCUAAUCUCUACAGAUUCAAUUUAAUCCUGAUCUAUUUCCCUUCUAAAUCAGAACUUCCUCUGCAUGGAAUAAGUUUGAUGUAAAUUAUGGUCUUCAAAUUUAGACUUUUAGCUAACAAAUUUGAAAUAUAAUUCAAGGUCAGAAAUAAGGAAGAAAAACACACGCAGGCCUCACCAGCUGUGCUUUGCCUCCAAAACAAGAUUCACAACUGCAGAGAAUUCUGAAUAAGCGAUAAUCGAAAAUGUCCGGCAUAAGUAACUCAUUGCUGAUGUGAGCAAGAUCGAAGAGAGAAGACGAGGGACGAAAUCUUGUCAGCUCGGUCACUCGCCCUCCCUACGAGAUAAAACCUUCCCUCACAAAAAAAUAAUAGCUAAAUAAAACUAACCAUUUCCUAAAUAAAUUUCCGCGCA